rnacentral:rRNA from 1 species
AUACGUAGGGAGCGAGCGUUGUCCGGAAUUACUGGGCGUAAAGGGCGCGUAGGCGGCGCUUCAAGUCGUCUGUCAAAUGGGAGGGCUUAACCCUUUUUCGCAGACGAAACAGGAGAGCUUGAGAAGCAGAGAGGCAAACAGAAUUCCUGGUGUAGCGGUGAAAUGCGUAGAUAUCAGGAAGAGUACCAGUGGCGAAGGCGGUUUGCUGGCUGCAUACUGACGCUGAAGCGCGAAAGCCAGGGGAGCAAACGGGAUUAGAUACCCCGGUAGUCCUGGCAGUAAACGAUGUAUGCUGGGUGUGAGACUAGCGAUAGUUUCGUGCCGAAGUUAACGCGAUAAGCAUACCGCCUGGGGAGUACGGUCGCAAGAUUGAAACUCAAAUGAAUUGACGGGG